rnacentral:rRNA from 1 species
UACGAAGGUGGCAAGCGUUGUUCGGAUUUACUGGGCGUAAAGGGCGCGUAGGCGGCGUAACAAGUCACUUGUGAAAUCUCCGGGCUUAACCCGGAGCGGCCAAGUGAUACUGUUGUGCUAGAGUGCGGAAGGGGCUACUGGAAUUCUCGGUGUAGCGGUGGAAUGCGUAGAGAUCCGGAAGAACACCGGUGGCGAAGGCGGCCCGCUGGGCUGUGGCUGACGCUGAGGCGCGACAGCGUGGGGAGCAAACAGG